UUGAUCUUUGUUUUGAAUUUUAGGAUUGCCUAGGAGCCUUAGAUGAUACUCAUAUCAAAGUCAAUGUUCUUGAGGCUGACAAGCCUAGAUAUCGAAACAGAAAAGGUGACAUAACAACCAAUGUGCUUGGAGUGGUUGCUCCCGAUAUGCAAUUUAUCUACGUACUGGCGGGUUGGGAGGGUUCAGCUGCGGAUUCUAAGGUAUUGCGAGAUGCACUAUUUCGCAAUGGGUUUAGUGUUCCCCAAGGUCAUUAUUACUUAUGUGAUGCUGGAUAUAUGAAUUGUGAAGGAUUUUUGGCACCUUAUAGAGGACAAAAAUAUCAUUUGAGUGAGUUUAAUCCACAUAAUCAACCCAGUACAGCUCAAGAGUUUUUUAAUAUGAAACACUCACAAGCUAGGAAUGUCAUUGAAAGGGUAUUUGGAGUAUUGAAAGCAAGAUGGGAAAUUUUAAGGGGAAGAUCAUUUUAUCCUAUUAAGACUCAAGGAAGAAUUAUAACUGCUUGUUGACUUUUGCAUAAUCAUAUUAGAAGAGUGAUGGUUGUGGAUCCUAUUGAUGAGAUAGAAGA